AGAAGCAAAAUGACGACUCGG
rnacentral:miRNA from 1 species